rnacentral:rRNA from 1 species
GAUGAACGCUGGCGGCGUGCCUAAUACAUGCAAGUCGAGCGAACAGACGAGGAGCUUGCUCCUCUGACGUUAGCGGCGGACGGGUGAGUAACACGUGGAUAACCUACCUAUAAGACUGGGAUAACUUCGGGAAACCGGAGCUAAUACCGGAUAAUAUAUUGAACCGCAUGGUUCAAUAGUGAAAGACGGUUUUGCUGUCACUUAUAGAUGGCUCCGCGCCGCAUUAGCUAGUUGGUAAGGUAACGGCUUACCAAGGCAACGAUGCGUAGCCGACCUGAGAGGGUGAUAGGCCACACUGGAACUGAGACACGGUCCAGACUCCUACGGGAGGCAGCAGUAGGGAAUCUUCCGCAAUGGGCGAAAGCCUGACGGAGCAACGCCGCGUGAGUGAUGAAGGUCUUCGGAUCGUAAAACUCUGUUAUUAGGGAAGAACAAAUGUGUAAGUAAAUAUGCACGUCUUGACGGUACCUAAUCAGAAAGCCACGGCUAACUACGUG